ACUUUCAAUUGAUUACUUCGCACAAUUGAUUUUUCGGCAAUCCAUUCCAACUCACUUAUACAGUCAGAUCAGUUUGAGUGCAACUCGAGAAAAAGAAUGGAGUAUCCCAAAUUUCUCGUUAUAAUUUCAUUAUUUAUUUGCUUUCAAUUUUUGGUGGCUGCGGAGAGCUCGAAAUCGAAGGAAUCUCCAGAUGUCACUGGCAAUGUUCUGAGCACAGCUGGAAAUAUUGCAUCAAGAGUUGUAGACGGUAUUCGGAAGGGGUUGAGUGGAAUGAUGCAAAUAGGACAAGCACACGUAGGAAAAUAGGAUGGCAGCAGGAAACACUGAUUAGGUUUAGUACUGUGAAAAUAGGUCAAUUUUCAGUAAAAUAAAUAAAGAACAAACAUUUUUA